rnacentral:rRNA from 1 species
ACGGCUCAGUAACACGUAGUCAACCUAACCUAUGGACGGGAAUAACCUCGGGAAACUGAGAAUAAUGCCCGAUAGAACACUAUACCUGGAAUGGUUUGUGUUCCAAAUGAUUUAUCGCCAUAGGAUGGGACUGCGGCCUAUCAGUUUGUUGGUGAGGUAAUGGCCCACCAAGACUAUUACAGGUACGGGCUCUGAGAGGAGUAGCCCGGAGAUGGGUACUGAGACACGGACCCAGGCCCUAUGGGGCGCAGCAGGCGAGAAAACUUUGCAAUGUGCGAAAGCACGACAAGGUUAAUCCGAGUGAUUUGUGCUAAACGAAUCUUUUGUUAGUCCUAGAGGCACUAACGAAUAAGGGGUGGGCAAGUUCUGGUGUCAGCCGCCGCGGUAAAACCAGCACCUCAAGUGGUCAGGAUGAUUAUUGGGCCUAAAGCAUCCGUAGCCGGCUCUGUAAGUUUUCGGUUAAAUCUGUACGCUUAACGUACAGGCUGCCGGGAAUACUGCAGAGCUAGGGAGUGGGAGAGGUAGACGGUACUCGGUAGGAAGUGGUAAAAUGCUUUGAUCUAUCGAUGACCACCUGUGGCGAAGGCGGUCUACCAGAACACGUCCGACGGUGAGGGAUGAAAGCUGGGGGAGCAAACCGGAUUAGAUACCCGGGUAGUCCCAGCUGUAAACUAUGCAAACUCAGUGAUGCAUUGGCUUGUGGCCAAUGCAGUGCUGCAGGGAAGCCGUUAAGUUUGCCGCCUGGGAAGUACGUACGCAAGUAUGAAACUUAAAGGAAUUGGCGGGGGAGCAC